UAGUAAUGUAAUGGCUUACAGUCACUGUCAACUAUAAUAUAAGGUAAUUUAAUUGUCAGAGCAUUUGAUGACAGAUUAAACUGUGAUUAAUGGAUCGAGCACACACACACGGCUGUUUUUAUUUGCACAGACAUCUCUUGCUCUGGAUUAUGAAUGUGUGAGCAGCAGGCAGAUGCUUGUUUUAAGGUCUGUUAGUUCUCUGAGCUCAAACACACACACACAGAGCAAUAAGCCGCUGUCCAUUACAGAGCAAUUAUUCAAGCUGGCAUGAGGAUGGAGGCGGAGCUACAGCCGGCCAAUCUCCCACCAGCCCCCUCCACACACACACACACACACACACGCUUGCAUAAUCGCAGUGGAGCGAGAGACAGUCGCACGCUCACUGUGCCGCUCGCAGCAUGGCUGGAUUGUACCGCUCCUGUGCUUGAAGACAGAGAAGCCAGACAAAGGCAGGCGUGAUGGGGCAGCUGUGCUGCUUCCCUCUCUCUCGACCGGAGGAUAAGCUCAAUCUUUUGCAAAGCAGGCAGCGUGCCACUCGGACAAGUGUUAAGAAAGCCCCGGAGGAUGAGGAGUUAGUGAGUCUGAGUAAGCAGCUGGUGGAAGAUGCCGUGUUGCGGGCCGUGCAGCAGUACAUGGAGGAAACUCAACAGAACGGCACCGCGCCGAAAGACGAGGCUCUGCCGGGGGCCGCCGGCAAACUCAACACCACCAAAUGACCGCGUGAGCCCUGAGCCGGACCCUGCGGAGAGCCGCAACACGCCUCCACCUGCCAGGGGGCGCCAGAGCGCAGCGGAGAGCGAUUGAGUUGAGCUGAAGUGGAGCAGAGAGUAAACACAAGCCAAGUGAAGACGCACACAGCACUCGAACUGAACUUUAUUUUCCUGCCUUCCCCCCGUCCUGCAUCACUAUCGGUUUGACUUUAUUUGUGACGGAUCCUUCAGAGAACAAGCACACAGGUUCACACACACACACACACACACACACACAUGCUGCUGUAGUGUCCGGAGGCCGUUGCUUUGGCAUCUUCACAUCUGACAAUCACAGUGAACUGCUCAGAUUGACUGCACAUGACCUGCAGGCCUGAAGCCCGAGCCGUCAGAACAGCUUAUGAACUCUGAAAGUGUUAUGAACACGCUGUUGCGUUUGUGUGUGUGUAACCCUGUCAGAUGAUGAUGUGUGUGUUGUUUGUGCCGUAGGGUGUGUGUUUGCUCAGAGCAGAAUGGAUCGGGAAAGAGAGCGCAGGCGGACGCAGGUAGAGGCCAUAAAGACACUGUUAGCACAGGAAAACAUUCGAG